CCUACGGGUGGCAGCAGUGGGGGAUAUUGCACAAUGGGGGGAACCCUGAUGCAGCGACGCCGCGUGGGUGAAGGAGUGCUUCGGCAUGUAAAGCCCUAUCGGCAGGGAGGAAGCAGGACGGUACCUGACUAAGAAGCCCCGGCGAACUACGUGCCAGCAGCCGCGGGAAUACGUAGGGGGCGAGCGUUAUCCGGAUUCACUGGGUGUAAAGGUAGCGUAGACGGCCAUGCAAGCCAGGGGUGAAAGCCCGGGGCCCAACCCCGGGACUGGCCUUGGAACUGGAUGGCUGGAGGGCGGGAGGGGCAGGCGGAAUUACUGGUGGAGCGGGGAAAAGCGUAGAUAUCAGGAGGAACACCGGCGGAGAAGGCGGGCUGCUGGACCGCGACUGACGUUGAGGCGCGAAAGCGUGGGGAGCGAACAGGAUUAGAUACCCCUGUAGUC
rnacentral:rRNA from 1 species